rnacentral:piRNA from 1 species
UGCGAGGGUUCCAGUUUCUCCACAUCUCCAC